rnacentral:misc_RNA from 1 species
UCAUUAGAGAUUCUAAUGUCACAUGACUACGAAAUCUCCAAUAGUGCUUUGGAUUUGUAGGGUCGUUGAUUGUCUCCUCUUUUGCAGGUCGUGUUGUGUAUUCCUCUUUCAAUGCUAACAAAUCCUGAAGUGGGAAGAUAGCCCACAUUGAUGGAGCUUCAAAAUGCUGCUUUAUGAUGAAAUGUGCGAUCUCUGGAAUACAUUGGCUAGGUGGCAAGAUAUCAGAUUCUAUAAUGUUCUUCAUAAACCGUUGUCUUCUUUCUUCG